GCAAACGAGUCAGGCAUCGUGGUAGGACCUGGCGAGUGGGGCCGGGGAGAGCGGGACGCCUGGAUCGGGAACUUGUCGCAUUCACAUUGGCUGCUAGGAGGCCUCGGCGACCACUUCCGGAUCCGGGGCGGGGGUCGCAACUCCCAGCCCUUGCUCAGAGGGCUGAACUAGAAUUCCCAGAAGCCUCUGCGGCCGCCUUCCUGCUCCUUCACUCCUGCUUCCCCCACAAAUAACACUUCUUCUUUAGGCAUUGAAGACUGUUCCUUUCUGGGUGAAGGAGAAUCACGUAGCAAUUGGGAGCAAGAUGCAUCCAUGUAACCCAGUACUGGAGGUCAAGAUGGAGACAAUCUCCACAGCCACCAUGGCCUUUCCCUGAGUGCUACUAUAACUCAGGAGGAAAGCCACCCAGAUACUGCAGAACACCAACAUGCUGAAGGCAAACCAAAGAGAAGAAAGACUUUGUGCUUGAGAGUUGAAAAUGAGACCACCUUGCCAUGUCAAUUCAGGUCUCUUAAAGUCUUCCCUUGCAGGAGAAGAGGGAAGUGAAAAGAUCUUCUUGUGAACAGGGUCUGGUGUGGACCUCCAGCAAACUCCAACAGAUUAAUUCAUUGACAGAAUGGGAUUGUCUUGUGAAAGGGAAAUAUCUUGGAUCCCUUCAAGCUGGGAACCCCUCAGGGCAAAUCUGCCUACUUCUGUCAAUUCAUCAAUCUCAUUCUCCGUCCAGUUUUGUGCCCUUGCUGGAGAGGAGUUGCCAUCAUUUGUCAUACACAAGUAUCAAUAGCCAAAUUGAUCACGCAAAAGAAACGAUAUCAGAGAUUGAAGAUCAACUUACUAAAAUAAGGCAUGAAGAAAAGAUUAGAGAAAAAAGAAUGAAAAGGAACUAACAAAGCCUCCAAGAAAUAUGAGACUAUGUGAAAAGACCGAACUACAGUUGAUUGGUGUACCUGAAAGUGACAGGGAGAAUGGAACCAAGUUGGAAAACACAUUUCAGGAUAUUAUCCAGGAGAACUUCCCCAACCUAGCAAGACAGGCCAACAUUCAAAUUCAGGUAAUACAGAGAACACCACUAAGAUACUCCUCGAGAAGAGCAACCCCAAGACAAAUAAUUGUCAGAUUCUCCAAGGUUGAAAUAUAUACAAUAUAUUCAAUAUAAGCUCUCAGUAUUUAAAAUUUAGUAGGGCUUGGUGUCAUUUUUAGACCCAGGAGUCAAGGCCCUGUAACUCAAUGUCACAAGGACUUUAAAAGCACAUACAGGAAGAUAACAAAUGUAAUAACCUUCAUUAAAAAUUUUUUUAACCUCAGUUUUUUCUAAGCAAUAAAACAUAAAAUCUUCUAGGCAGGUUACCAAAAGGCAAAAAAAAAAAAAAAAAAAAAAAAACCCUUCUGCAGUGCACAGAAUAUUAUGUUCAAAGGAAACAUUUCCUUUAGACCUUUGAGAAAACACUGUUAGCAUCAGGCAACAACAACAACAAAAAACUGGAACCCAAGGAAAACAAACUUAUAUGACCUGAAAAUGAGUUGAAGGAGAGUGUUACUAUUUUGUGCCUUUUAAAAAGGGAGAGAAAACCAAAACCCGUGAGAUGCAAUAAAAGUUGAAUUUUGGGUUAAAAAUUAAAAAAUAAAAUAUCUUAUAAUUUAUUGAGUAAAUCAACCCCUUAAGAAAAUUUCAUUGUUCUAACCAAUUCUUUAGUGUAUAAGUGUUUUCUUACAUCAAACCCAAUCUACAGAAACACUACUAUCAUUUCUCUUUAUAGACAACUUAAUCACAUAAAAGUUUUUGAUUUGCUUAUUUAAUAAUCUUCUUAUAGUGACUUAUACAGACCAUUCAUGACAUGCUUGGAUUUUCUGGUUUGUUCUAAAUAUCACUUUUUCUUAAACAACUAGUCAUUUUAUUCUAGGACUAAAUUUACCAUACAAGAUUCUUUCUCAUAUAAAAUUAUUUCUCUUUAAGCUGUCUUACAAAAAAAAAACCUCUUUCUUUUUUUUGGGGGAUGCCCUUAAAUAAAUAUUUUAUUUUGUUUAUAUCAUUGUAGAUACUAGUACCCUUAGUUUAGUAAAAGAAAACUACCACAUGAUCUUUAUUUUUAAAUUCUUGGGUUAAGCUCUGGAGAAUUUUCAUAGGCAAAUUCUGUGUGGGCUGGAACAGUAAGCACUCCAAUAAAAUCUAUCUCCAGGAAGAAUGGACCACCCACUUUAUCAGCCAAGGUGAAUGCUAUAGAAGAGAUCUUGUCAAGCAGAAGCUGACUCUGAACAUCCUGCACUCUUCCUUGAUUAGGGAAAAAAAUUUGGAAAAAGGGAUCUUGACCUCCUGCCAGUAGGAGUCCCCACGGGUGAACAUGAAGUAACUAUACAUCUGUUUUUCCUCUGGAUUAUAUCUGUGUCCUCCCUGAUAUUCAUCAUCCAAGGCCAACCAUCCCCACAUACACGGAGAUACAGAGUACUGAACUGGGACCAAUCAUAAGACAUUUUCCUAAGACAUCUUCCUCUCAAAAGCACCCCCUGGAAUCCUGGAUAUCAUUGCACAGUACCCACUUCAGGUAGUCUCCCCAUCCUGAGGCACCUCAGAGCUCAGAGUUCCAUAUAGCAGUGCACUUUGGUUAUUCUUGCCCAUUUUCAAAAAUACUUCACUUCUGCCUCCAAUCGUCUUUUCAGAAGUCACUAUCUACUUAUCCAAGUCUUCUUUCCCCCAGAACUGUCAGACAACCUUGGCUUGUUCCAGCAAGACCUCAUGCAGAGGGCGGCCUUCGGGUCCUAUCCAAUGAUCCACAAUUUCAUCCUUCAAAUGCCUAAAAUGGUCCUUUAUUUCAUCUCUAAUUGCUUUAUUGAAACUAACUUCAGGUUUCUCCUCAGGAGAAGUUAUAUCCAAAGCAACUUCUUUCUGGUGAUGUCCUUGGCAACCCCCUUCAGUAUUCCUCUGUGAGGAGGCUUUGCCAGGAGAAGCCACUAGUUUCUGAAGACUACUGGAGUGGUGUGCAAAGUGAAUACCCAAAAAUGAAUGCAAGGUAGCAGUUGUCUUAGAGCAUUUUCUGAGAAUAUAAGUGCCAUGCAGCAAUUUGUGAACCAAAGCCAUGGUACGAAAAAAUCAAAAUGUAAGUUUCUUCCUGGGCUACCAAGGGCUACCAAGAAGCUUCAGCAAAUAGCCCAAUUCUACCAAAUGCCAGAAGCUGCUCUAAGUGUAUUUUCAUUGACGGCUCACAACAACCCUGAGAGAGGUACUAUUAUCAUUUCAAUUAUAGAGAUGAGGAAAUGGAUGUUCCAAGACUAAUUUACAGAAGGUCACACAGGUAGUGAGUAGUAAAACUCUUCUGCCUCGGGGUUUGCCUCCGGCACUCACUGCCUGACUUCCACAGGCUGGACGUUCCCCACGCUGGAGAGAAAAACCUCUUUAUUUCUUUAACUUUCUUUAUAUCUCUCUUAUUUCCUGGUUCCUUUUACCUUGUUUUAUAUAAAACCUUUACAUAAGCUUUGAAUUAGACAAAAGAGUGUAUACCUUUUUAAAAAGCACACACCUGUUUUUAGAAAGAAUGUUUUCCUACAAUAUAUUUUGUUGAAAAAUACCCAA
rnacentral:lncRNA from 1 species